rnacentral:rRNA from 1 species
AUUGAACGCUGGCGGCAGGCCUAACACAUGCAAGUCGAACGAGUGGCGGACCGGUGAGUAAUGUCUGGGAAACUGCCCGAUGGAGGGGGAUAACUACUGGAAACGGUAGCUAAUACCGCAUACCAUCAGAUGUGCCCAGAUGGGCUUAGCUAGUUGGUGGGGUAACGGCUCACCAAGGCGACGAUCCCUAGCUGGUCUGAGGGGAUGACCAGCCAAACUGGAACUGAGACACGGUCCAGACUCCUACGGUAGGCAACAGUGGGGAAUAGUGCACAAUGGGCGCAAGCCUAAUGCAGCCAUGCCGCGUGUAUGAAGAAGGCCUUCGGGUUGGAAAGUAAUUUCAGCGGGGAGGCGUUACCAGAAGAAGAAGCACCGGCUAACUCCGUGCCAGCAGCCGCGGUAAUUC